AAGGUAAGAACAAAAUAACCACAUCUUAAGUACAGUUUGACUUUCAUGACUAAAGAUAAAAAUUACAGGGAGGUAGGAUUUUAUUUCACUAUAAAGAUGAACUUCCUAACGAAAUGAGAAACUGAUUACAUCUGCUUAUUUGGACAGUGAAUGGAACCACAUAUUCUGCCUGUUGGCAAACACCAAAUCUGUAUAGUUUAUUUUCUUCAAAGGGAAUCAUGAUUGCCAACAAUCACUCAGCACCAACAAUUUACUGAAUGUUUAUCUGCCUGCAUUCUUCUUGUGGCUGGAAAUGUAGCAGUGAACCAGACCGAGACCCUGAUCCGCUGGGUAUAUAGCUGGGGGAGUCAGACAUUCAUGAAAAUGACUUCUAGUGCCACAGAUAUUUCAAAAGAUGCAGUAAAGAGUUCUGUGGGUCUGAAUGAUAUGGUGUGCUAACCAAAUAUGUGAAGGUGGCGAAGGUCUCCUAGAAGAAUUGGUGCAAAACUUGAGUCUCAAAGGAUGAGCUGGGUGAGGAGUUGGGCACAGUAUUCUGGGCAGUGGGAACAUCAUGGACAGAAGCCUGAAUGCAGCGGAGAGACUGACUCACUUGUGGGCAUGAAGGAGAUCAGCAUGACUGGAUUGGAGCUCACUUCCUGGUGUUUUCACCUCAUUGCAUGGCACUUGCCCCUUUGGAGUCAGCCACCAUGUUAUGAGGAAGUCUGGGACACAUGAAGAGGCCACAUGCACUUAUUCUGUCUAAAAGCCCUAGCUAAUUGCAAGGCUGACAGCCAGCAGCAACUAUCAUUUUUGUGAAUAAAUAAGUCUUCAGAUGAUUCCAAAUCCCAGCCUUUGAGUCACCCCAGCUGAUGUCAAGUAGAGCAAAGAUGAGCUAUCCUCACCGAACUCCAUCUAAAUUGCUGAUUCCUGAGCAAAAUAAAUGUCAUUGUUCUAAGUCUCUAAA
ensembl:lncRNA novel transcript